GCCGAAAUAGCUCAGUUGGGAGAGCGUUAGACUGAAGAUCUAAAUGUCCCUGGUUCGAUCCCUGGUUUUCGGCA
rnacentral:tRNA from 1 species